GUGGGCGUAGCUCAGUUGGUUAGAGCACCAGGUUGUGGUUCUGGGGGUCGUGGGUUCGAAACCCACCGCUCACC
rnacentral:tRNA from 1 species